UGGGGAAUUUUGGACAAUGGGCGAAAGCCUGAUCCAGCAAUGCCGCGUGUGUGAAGAAGGCCUUCGGGUUGUAAAGCACUUUUGUCCGGAAAGAAAUCCUUGGCUCUAAUACAGUCGGGGGAUGACGGUACCGGAAGAAUAAGCACCGGCUAACUACGUGCCAGCAGCCGCGGUAAUACGUAGGGUGCAAGCGUUAAUCGGAAUUACUGGGCGUAAAGCGCACGCAGGCGGUUUGUUAAGUCAGAUGUGAAAUCCCCGGGCUCAACCUGGGAACUGCAUUGGUGACUGGCAGGCUAGAGUAUGGCAGAGGGGGGUAGAAUUCCACGUGUAGCAGUGAAAUGCGUAGAGAUGUGGAGGAAUACCGAUGGCGAAGGCAGCCCCCUGGGCCAAUACUGACGCUCAUGCACGAAAGCGUGGGGGAGCAAACAGGAUUAGAUACCCUGGUAGUCCACGCCCUAAACGAUGUCAACUAGUUGUUGGGGAUUCAUUUCCUUAGUAACGUAGCUAACGCGUGAAGUUGACCGCCUGGGGAGUACGGUCGCAAGAUUAAAACUCAAAGGAAUUGACGGGGUCAUAGCUGUUUCCU
rnacentral:rRNA from 1 species